AAGACUAUACUUUCAGGGAUCAUUUCUAUAGUAUCCAACUAAAGAAAUGCACUCGAAAGUGAUCGGCUGUUAAUCACAGCAGCAAGGUUGU